CCCACGUGGGGCUCACAGUCUUCAUCCCAUUUUACAGAUGAGCCACUUCUGUGCAAUAGAAGCCCCCUGAUCCUCCCCAGUGCAAAGCCACUGUCAAAUACAGGACCUCAUGACCCUCUCAAAAGAGGAUUCUGACCCUUCCCCACUGCUGCUCCUUGGAUGUUAAGGCUUUCCUGGCCUCACUUCAACUAAUGCAACCUAUUUCUGCCAAGCAAAACUGCUUACAGUGCAGGAAUAUCCAAGAAAAGAUGUCCUGAAGUAUGGUGGAAAUACAAGACUGCAGAGAAGGAGAGAGAUUGGGACUGGAGAAGAAGAUGUGAGAAUCAUCAGCGUAAAGGGUGCAAGAAUGGAGACAGUGGCCCUUUUGCAGCGGAGGGCCCCAGGAGUGCUGAUGUUCUAGAGCGAGGGGGCCCCCGGAUGACCGGAUGGGCCGGCGGAGGGGCAAGACCCCACGGAGCUGACCGCGCGAGCCCCAGGAGAGUGCCGUAGGACACCAGAACGGCAGCCCCCGCUCCCGCCGCUCCCUCUGCUCCUGACCCCUCAGCAUGGGGAGAUGGGAAACCCUGAGCACUGCCCAGCCCAAAAGCACUGCCGUGGAUGGGCGGAUCCCAACACCCCUGUGGGGUUACCAACAUUGGCUUCAUGGGAGAACCCCCUCCUUACACCCCUCCGGACCCAAAGACAGUCCACCUGGUCUACCCACCAUUCCCGCCCAACUUUUCAGGGCAAGUGCCCGUCCUCUACCAGCCAGGGCCCUCCCCGGCAUCCUUGUACCCCCCGGUCCCCUCACCACCAUCCAUGUACCCGCUGGGCCCUCCAUCGCAGACCGUGUACCCACCGGAGCCUACCCUACCACAAUCGUAAGUACCAGGGAGGGCAGGACAGCCCCCACUCCUCCUUCUCUGUCCUUCUCCCUCCCCUGUCCUCCCCAUCCAGUUGGCAGCAUGGAUGUCCAGAGUCACUGCCUUGGUAUUUACUGACUUCGUCCUCCCCAGAGCUGGGCAGGGCUAGUCAGAGGCCCCCACUUCAGCAGGGUCCCAGCAUAACAAUCCCUUGGUGGACAAAGGGGCCGAAGCUCAGAAAAAGUACCAGAUACCAUUAAAACAAACAAAAAAGCAUGGCUCUCCAUACCACCACGCCACCUCUCUUCAGUCCCCCCGGGAUCUGAAGGCCCAAGAUGUCGGGUGCAGGGAGGGAAACUGGCCAUGGUCCCCAAGUUCAGGCUACACCCUCCACCUCUGCCCUGGUGGUCCCACUUUGACAGCUGCCUCUUCCUCCUGCAGUACAACGACCCACUGAGCAGGGCCGUGGGGGGAGCCAGGAGGCGACAUCCUCCCAAGGACUACAUGGUGGAGUCAGUGCUCGUCACACUCUUCUGCUGCCUUCUCACCGGGGUCAUCGCCAUCGUCUACUCACAUGAGACCCGGGCAGCUGUGAACCGUGGGGACCUGGCCCAGGCUGAACAGGCAUCCAGAAAGGCCCGCUCCCUGGUACUCUUCAGCCUGCUCUUCGGGGUCUUUGUGUCUAUCAGCUGGGUCAUCUACGUGGUGGUUGUCCUCUACACACCCUGAGUGACCAACAGGCUCUGACUCCCUGUCAUCUGGCCUCUGGGCCCAGGCCAGCAUCCAGAUGGUACCUGCAGCUCACCGGGGUUGAGCCGCCUGCUCAGAACCAGAAUUUGCCAACAUCAUCACCACCAGCGCCAUUUACUGGGCUCCUGUUUGGGGCAGAACACUGUGCUAGGCGCUUGGGAGCACACAACUGAAGACACAGCCUCUGCCCUGGAAGACCUUGCGAUCUAAUGGAAGGUGUUGGCUCAUACAUCCACAGUGGCCACCAACCCCAAUGUUCACCUCUCCAGCCUCACCUCACUCAUCUCCCUUCCAGACUGGGAAAGUAACACCGCUGAUGGGGAAUUGUCCAGGGAGCCAUCUCGGGACAACUACUCUGGCUAGCCCUCCUACUAGAAAAGUGAGUCUGGGGAGCCGGACCACUAAUGUAUUCUGAGAGUGAAACUCACAGUCUAGCCAUCUACAGGCCCUAACCCCUCCUUCCUGGCUGGGACAUCCCGAGGCAGCUUUCGGUAUUUAUUAUUCCCUGAUUGUUUUUCCCACUCAAGAGAUGAGAAACCCAUGCCUCGGCUGCCAGAAUUUCCUCUUGCUCUUACUAUCUUGUUCCGCUGCCCCUCCCUCAUAGAGCUGCUGAACAAACUACACCCCUCGUUGCCCCCCCCAUCCCCAAACCACAAGGCCCCCGGGGUGUGGGGGAGACUGAAAUUGGAUUCUCUUCUGUGGGCCUUAGUGAAUGACAACUUCCUGACUUGUUUGAUUGAGCUUGGUGAUUAUAAUUAAACACUAAAAAAUCCCUCCAAAA